UUUUUUUCCCCCGUCCACUAGCAUAUCAAUAAGCGGAGGAAAAGAAACCAACAGGGAUUGCCCCAGUAACGGCGAGUGAAGCGGCAACAGCCCAGAUUUGAAAUCUGGCCUCCUCGAGGCCCGAGUUGUAAUCUGCAGAUGGGUUUUCCGGCGACGCGCGCGUCCAAGUUCCCUGGAAUGGGACGCCGAAGAGGGUGAGAGCCCCGUACAGGCGCGUGCCGAGCCUCCGUGAGGCCCAUUCGACGAGUCGAGUAGUUUGGAAAUGCUGCUCUAAUCGUGGGGUAAAUCUCCCAUAAGGCUAAAUAUCGGCCGGAGACCGAUAGCGCACAAGUAGCGUGAGCGAAAGAUGAAAAGAGCCUUGGAUAAGGGCGUCAAAAAGCAUGUGAAAUUGUUGUGGGGGAAGCGCUUGUCGCCAGACGUGGCGGCGGCCGAUUUACCGGCGUCCUCGCCGGCGUACUCUGCCCGCCGCCAGGCCAGCAUCGGCUCGGGUCGGGGCUCAAAGCGAGUGGGAACGUAGCUCCCUCCGGGGAGUGUUAUAGCCCGCGCGCUACGCCCUGUUCCGGGCCGAGGAUCGCGCAUCUGCUCGGAUGCUGGCUUAAUGGCGCCCAGCGACCCGUCUUGAAACACGGACCAAGGAGUUGACCUGACGCGCGAGUGUUCGGGUGUAAAGCCCCUACGCGCAGUGAAAGCGAACGCGGGUGGGAGCCCCUCACGGGGUGCACCAUCGACCGAUCCUGAAGCUUGCAGAUGGAUUUGAGUAGGAGCGCGUCGGGUCUGACCCGAAAGAAGGUGAACUAUGCAUGAAUAGGGUGAAGCCAGAGGAAACUCUGGUGGAGGCUCGCAGCGGUUCUGACGUGCAAAUCGAUCGUCAAAUUUGUGCAUGGGGGCGAAAGACCAAUCGAACCUUCUAGUAGCUGGUUCCUGCGACUCUCCCCCUCCCCCAGAGAGUAUAUA
rnacentral:rRNA from 1 species